GGGGGCGUAGUGGUAACGGGAGCACGCUGGCUUUGCAAGCCGGAAGUAGGGGUUCGAUUCCCCUCGCCUCCA
rnacentral:tRNA from 1 species